GACGAACGCUGGCGGCGUGCUUAACACAUGCAAGUCGAACGGAAAGGCCCUGCUUUUGUGGGGUGCUCGAGUGGCGAACGAGUGAGUAACACGUGAGUAACCUGCCCUUGACUUUGGGAUAACUUCAGGAAACUGGGGCUAAUACCGGAUAGGAGCUCCUGCUGCAUGGUGGGGGUUGGAAAGUUUCGGCGGUUGGGGAUGGACUCGCGGCUUAUCAGCUUGUUGGUGGGGUAGUGGCUUACCAAGGCUUUGACGGGUAGCCGGCCUGAGAGGGUGACCGGCCACAUUGGGACUGAGAUACGGCCCAGACUCCUACGGGAGGCAGCAGUGGGGAAUAUUGCACAAUGGGCGGAAGCCUGGUGCAGCAACGCCGCGUGCGGGAUGACGGCCUUCGGGUUGUAAACCGCUUUCGCCUGUGACGAAGCGUGAGUGACGGUAAUGGGUAAAGAAGCACCGGCUAACUACGUG
rnacentral:rRNA from 1 species